rnacentral:rRNA from 1 species
AUGAUGGUGGUGUGCAAGGUCAUUAGUGGUCACUUGGGAUGGGUGCGAUCUGUAGCAUUUGAUCCAGGGAACAAAUGGUUUUGUCCUGGUUUUGCUGAUAGGACAAUAACGGCAAGGAAGAAGGUUGCAGAGCAUGGAUGGAUGUGA